AGUCCCAUCAUUCAGCCCCCUAGGGGCACUGGCGCGGCGGUGGCCUCGCAGGGCUCUGGGUUCCACUCUCCAGCUCUCCUCCCCCUGGCCCCGUCGCCCCGCCCUCGCCGGGCUGGGCUGCGGGGUCAGGGGCCGAGCGGAGCGGGGUGAGUAUUCCCACAGCCCCUGCCGGUCGCCGCCUCCCGGCUCUGCUUCCCACACGGUCCUCGCCCUACUCCUAGGACAGGGAGGAAGGGCUCGCGCGGGUAGGCGGGACACAGCCCAGUCCUGAACAAAAGCCCGGGGAAGCGGGUCCCCGCCGGUGAACUGCGGGCCUGUGUUGGCCGCCGCGCUCGGGGCGAGCGGGGAAGGGCGAGGACACUCCCUCCCCGGGACCCAGUGCCCGUCGCGCACACGGUGUCACCAGCACUCCUGGCCCAGUACCCAAUUGCUGCAGCACCCUCGAAUUGUCAUUUAACAUGGAAGAAGAUGAGUUCAUUGGAGAAAAAACAUUCCAACAUUAUUGUGCAGAAUUCAUUAAACAUUCACAACAGAUAGGUGAUAGUUGGGAAUGGAGACCAUCAAAGGACUGUUCUGAUGGCUACCUGUGCAAAAUACACUUUCAAAUUAAGAGUGGGUCUGUGAUGUCACAUCCAGGAGCAUCUACCCAUGGACAGACAUGUCCUCCCAUGGAGGUGAAGUCUCGCUCUGUCGCCCAGGCUGGAGUGCAGUGGCCGGAUCUCAGCUCACUGCAAGCUCCGCCUCCCGGGUUCACGCCAUUCUCCUGCUUCAGCCUCUCGAGUAGCUGGGACUACAGACGCCCGCCAUCUCGCCCGGCUAGUUUUUUGUAUGUUUUAGUAGAGACGGAGUUUCACCGUGUUAGCCAGGAUGGUCUCGAUCUCCUGACCUCGUGAUCCGCCUGUCUCGGCCUCCCAAAGUGCUGGGAUUACAGGCUUGAGCCACCGUGCC